CGCGUAGGCGGCUCGGUAAGUCUGGAGUGAAAGUCCUGCUUUUAAGGUGGGAAUUGCUUUGGGUACUGUCGGGCUUGAGUGCAGGAGAGGUUAGUGGAAUUCCCAGUGUAGCGGUGAAAUGCGUAGAGAUUGGGAGGAACAUCAGUGGCGAAGGCGACUAACUGGACUGUAACUGACGCUGAGGCGCGAAAGUGUGGGGAGCAAACA
rnacentral:rRNA from 1 species